GACGUAGGGUGCGAGCGUUGUCCGGAUUUAUUGGGCGUAAAGAGCGUGUAGGCGGCCAGAUAGGUCUGGUGUGAAAACUCGAGGCUCAACCUCGAGAGGUCACUGGAAACCAUUCGGCUAGAGUCCGGAAGAGGAGAGUGGAAUUCCUGGUGUAGCGGUGAAAUGCGCAGAUAUCAGGAAGAACACCUAUGGCGAAGGCAGCUCUCUGGGACGGUACUGACGCUGAGACGCGAAAGCGUGGGGAGCAAACAGG
rnacentral:rRNA from 1 species